ACAACCACCAGGUACUGUCAGAAGGGCGGAGCUCAGAUGGACACCUCACGUCUCUCUUUGUAGCCUAAUGAGGAUACAAAAAUAAAAAAAGUGGAGACAACAAGAAGAGAGGCGGAGAAAGUGAUGAGCGAGAGGGAAGAAAACAGGACCUGUGUUUGGGCAGGAGUGUUCAUUUCAAGCUGGCAGUGAAAGCAUGGUCACUCAGGAGCACUGGAUGAUUACCCUCCAGAGGGUCUACUACCCAGUUCUGGCCACCAUUGGAAUACCCUCCAACAUCAUUACCUUCCUAAUCUUCUGGAGGAGGAACUGUAUGCUGUCCAGGUCCAGCACCUUCUACCUGAUGGCCAUGUCGGUGGCAGACACAGGUGUGCUGGUGUGCAUCGUGGUGCUGGAGCUGGUGGUCAAAUUCCACAGUGCGGAGCCUUUCUGGGCACGGCAACCCUGGUGCAGCCUCCGAGACCUCUUCACCUACGGCUCCUACAACGCCUCCACCUGGCUGGUGGUCACCUUCACAGCUGAACGCUUCCUUGCGAUCAACACCUGGAGCCUGAAGUCUCGCCUCUGCACGCCGCGCUGUGCAUUGUGGGCCAUCAGCAGCAUUUACGUGUUGAGUCACCUCCUGGCUGUGCCACACCUCUGGGCCAACGUGUCCGAGUACGACCGGCAGCUGGGGAGGUGGACCUGUGUGUACAACGCGCAGGCACCCAUCCUCUUCAUCCACAGCCUGGUGGGCUUCCAGACGCUGCUCUCCUACAUCCUGCCUUUCCCAAUCAUCAUCACUCUGAACGGGCUCACGCUACACCACAUCUCUGUAUGCAACCGCAUUUGGCCCGCCCAGGAGCCACCGGUCUCUCCGGCAACGGCCGCCAAACCUGGCCUCAGGGUGGCACCGAUUCUGCGCUCGCGGAGAAGGAAGUCGGUGGUCCUGCUGGUGACUGUGUCCAUGACGUUUCUGAUGCUGUCGGUGGUGCGGGCCGUGACCCAAAUCAUCCUGCGCACGUCUAGCCCCGAGCUAAAGCGCCAGGACUACGGUCUCCCACUCAACGUGGCGGCCGACCUGGGCACCAUGCUGUGCCUGAGCAACGCGGCGGUCAACAUGUACCUGUAUGCUGCCACGCAGACCAAGUUCAGACAGGAAGUCAUCGCCUGUGCCAAACAGGGCCUCGCAGUGAUGAAGAGCAGCCUGACCCCAUCCACCAUUGUAACUGCCAGGCCUCAGUGA
rnacentral:lncRNA from 1 species